rnacentral:rRNA from 1 species
AGAGUUUGAUCCUGGCUCAGGACGAACGCUGGCGGCGUGCUUAACACAUGCAAGUCGAACGGGGCGUUUAUUUCGGUAAACGCCAAGUGGCGAACGGGUGAGUAACGCGUAAGCAAUCUGCCUUCAAGAUGGGGACAACACCGCGAAAGUGGUGCUAAUACCGAAUGAAGGUGAAAAAGUCGCAUGACGGUUUCACUAAAGGAGGCCGAAAGGCUUCCGCUUGAAGAUGAGCUUGCGUCUGAUUAGCUGGUUGGCGAGGGUAAAGGCCCACCAAGGCGACGAUCAGUAGCCGGUCUGAGAGGAUGAACGGCCACAUUGGGACUGAGACACGGCCCAGACUCCUACGGGAGGCAGCAGUGGGGAAUAUUCCGCAAUGGGCGAAAGCCUGACGGAGCAACGCCGCGUGAACGAAGAAGGUCUUAGGAUCGUAAAGUUCUGUUGUUAGGGGCGAAGGGUGCUGUUUUGAACAAGGGCGGCAUUUGACGGUACUUAACGAGGAAGCCACGGCUAACUACGUGCCAGCAGCCGCGGUAAUACGUAGGCGGCAAGCGUUGUCCGGAAUUAUUGGGCGUAAAGGGAGCGCAGGCGGGAGAUUAAGCGGACUUUAAAAGUGCGGGGCUCAACCCCGUGAGGGGGUCCGAACUGAUCUUCUUGAGUGCAGGAGAGGG